UAUUGAGCCCAGCAAACGCUCUUCUCCGGUAGCUUCGCCCACGUCUCCCCCUUCCCCUGCUCCCCCCCAAACCUGCCACCGAGGUUACACACCUACACACAGCAAGCACAUACACGACCUCCCCUCCUCCGCGCCGCCCUUCCGAAUGCGCGCAGGGGUGAAUGCGAAGCUGGGUGGCGGCAAUGAAAGCACGCUGAUCGAGCACAUGAAGGCUUCCGUGCAGCCGUCCACCGCGGCAGCCGCGGAGACGCAACGGGCGCCGCAACUUGCAGCUGCCGCGAAUCUGCAAAGUGGCUACAGCGGCAUCGGCAGCGGCCCCAGCGCAGCGGUGCCGCCGGCCGACUCCGCCGUAAUCUCCUCCUCGACGACCGCACAGCAGACGCGCGAGAACAUCGAGCGCGCGCUUCGCAUGAACGAGGCCACGAACAACUCCGGCUACGCUACUUUGCAGUCGCUGGGAAAGCAGCGCGAAGUCAUCCAGAACAGCCUCAACACGGUAGAUUCGACGCACCAACAUCUUAGCGACUCCCGCCAGGUAAUCCGCGACAUCCGCAUGGGCGUGUAUAAGGAGUGGCUCAUCAAGGGAUGCGUCGUUGCGUUUCUGAUGCUCCUGAUCGUUGUCAUUAUCUAUUCGAAGUUCAUUCGGAAGUAGGAAGGAACGUCACGUUCGCGGCGUGCGCGCGUGUGUGUGAACCCAUGCGUGAGCGAUGGAUAAGUGCGUCCAGGUCUCGGUGAAGGAGAUGAGGAAUACACAGACACGCCGAGCGAUGUGUUCUCAUGGCGACACGGGCCAGUAGCCAAACCUGCGGAGGUGGAGGAGAGAGAGCAGGCGGCUCACGAACUUGCCAUUCUCCUGCCACACCAUGUGCGCGAUGAUGAUUACGUUAUUUUGGUGCAAGCAAGACGCCUUUCCUUCCCUCAUCAUCGUCAUUGCCAGCGUGUCGCCGCUGUGGCUCUAGACGCCCUGGGCAGUCGAGGCGGUCUCGCUAGCGCCUCCGUCACACAGCCCCAUUCCGCAGUGUCAGCGCGCAUCAGCAUCCUCACCGCAACUUGCUCAUCGCUCUCGUAUUGUUUUUUAGUGCUUCGGCGCAUAUUUGCUUUCUUCGUGCUCACUGCCUGCCUGCCUUGCUCUCCAUGCCUCCUGGGUCUCCGUAUGCCUGCACACAUGUGUUUGAUGUCUGCUCCUCCUGCGCAUGUUGGAUGCGGAUCUCUUUGGAGCGCUCCGUCCGCACUCCUCGACACCCAAGCGCGUGCGCAGGUGUGCGCAGGUAUUACACAAGCC
rnacentral:misc_RNA from 1 species